rnacentral:lncRNA from 1 species
GUAGUGGUAAUAUAUAUUCCCUCAUCCCGCAAAGUCUGUCUUAGUUUGAAUUUUGAAAUUAAAUUGACCAAUUUUAGAAUUAAAAUUUAUUUUUAUUUUUUUAAAUAUGGUUAAAGAGAUUAUAACUAUAAGAAAAGAAAUUAAGUACAUUUAAUUUACUACAACAUUCAAUUUUUGGAAGUUCAAAAAUAUAAGUAAAUGUGCUU